rnacentral:rRNA from 1 species
UACGGAGGGGACUAGCGUUGUUCGGAAUUACUGGGCGUAAAGCGCACGUAGGCGGAUUUGUUAGUCAGGGGUGAAAUCCCGAGGCUCAACCUCGGAACUGCCUUUGAUACUGCAAAUCUCGAGUCCGGAAGAGGUGAGUGGAAUUCCUAGUGUAGAGGUGAAAUUCGUAGAUAUCAGGAGGAACACCAGUGGCGAAGGCGGCUUCCUGGACACCAACUGACGCUGAGACGCGAAAGCGUGGGGAGCAAACAGG